rnacentral:tRNA from 1 species
AUGGGUGUAGCUCCAAUAGGUAGAGCGGCGGAUUCCAAAUCCGAAGGCUGUGGGUUCGAGUCCCUCCACCUGUGCCA